rnacentral:rRNA from 1 species
GCGAGCGGCGGAUGGGUGAGUAACACGCUGGGGAACCUGCCCCUAAGUCUGGGAUACCAUUUGGAAACAGGUGCUAAUACCGGAUAAUAAAGCAGAUCGCAUGAUCAGCUUUUGAAAGGCGGCGUAAGCUGUCGCUAAGGGAUGGCCCCGCGGUGCAUUAGCUAGUUGGUAAGGUAACGGCUUACCAAGGCGACGAUGCAUAGGCGAGUUGAGAGACUGAUCGGCCACAUUGGGACUGAGACACGGCCCAAACUCCUACGGGAGGCAGCAGUAGGGAAUCUUCCACAAUGGACGCAAGUCUGAUGGAGCAACGCCGCGUGAGUGAAGAAGGUUUUCGGAUCGUAAAGCUCUGUUGUUGGUGAAGAAGGAUAUAGGUAGUAACUGGCCUUUAUUUGACGGUAAUCAACCAGAAAGUCACGGCUAACUACGUGCCAGCAGCCGCGGUAAUACGUAGGUGGCAAGCGUUGUCCGGAUUUAUUGGGCGUAAAGCGAGCGCAGGCGGAAAAAUAAGUCUAAUGUGAAAGCCCUCGGCUUAACCGAGGAACUGCAUCGGAAACUGUUUUUCUUGAGUGCAGAA